AUCAAUUGAAGCAAGGUGCGAGAAAGAAGAGUUAGUUUAGUUUCUUCUGGUGCGGACAUGAACGAAGAUCAAAUGGAAGGUUGUGUGAGUGGGUACCUCAAGCAGAAAGGGUUUACGCAAAACAAGGACCAGCUUCAACUCACCAACACUGAUUCCUCUCUUCAACCUGACAACACUCUCAAUCGCACUCAACUGGAGAGAGGUUCUGCGAGAUACCAUGAUGGGUAUGCUAAACUAAGAUCAUGGGCAUACAGUUAUUACAUAUGGUUUGCCACUUCUUUGUAGCAUGAAUUGCUGCGUGUGCUUUAUCCAGUAUUUAUCUAUUACUUCGUGGAUCUUGUGGCCAAAGGACAUCUUCAGGAAGCUUGGAACUUUUUCAAUACCUUUCGUGAAGACCAUGAAAAGACGCACUUAAGAGACCUUCAAAAUUUGGAACUAGUUCUUUCUCCUACUCAUUUGGAGGUUUCUUGCUGUCCAAAAUAUGACAUCUCUUUUUUGCUUCUUGAAGUUGUUAGACAAUUAGCAUUAUAUGAUCCUACAAUGUUGUUCUUACUCAGGAAAUGGAAUUCGCUCAAAUUAUGGAACUGGA